rnacentral:tRNA from 1 species
GGGCCGUUAGCUCAAUUGGCAGAGCGCUUCUAUGGCAUAGAAGAGGUAAGCGGUUCGAUCCCGCUACGGUCCACCA